UAUUAUAUAGUUUAAUAAAAACAUUAUACUUUCAAUAUAAAAAUAUACACAUUAAUAUAAAUAAGUAUUAUAA
rnacentral:tRNA from 1 species